rnacentral:rRNA from 1 species
ACGAACGCUGGCGGCGUGCUUAACACAUGCCAGUCGAGCGGUAAGGCCUUUCGGGGUACACGAGCGGCGAACGGGUGAGUAACACGUGGGUGAUCUGCCCUGCACUUCGGGAUAAGCCUGGGAAACUGGGUCUAAUACCGGAUAUGACCUCCUAUCGCAUGGUGGGUGGUGGAAAGAUUUAUCGGUGCAGGAUGGGCCCGCGGCCUAUCAGCUUGUUGGUGGGGUAAUGGCCUACCAAGGCGACGACGGGUAGCCGACCUGAGAGGGUGACCGGCCACACUGGGACUGAGACACGGCCCAGACUCCUACGGGAGGCAGCAGUGGGGAAUAUUGCACAAUGGGCGAAAGCCUGAUGCAGCGACGCCGCGUGAGGGAUGACGGCCUUCGGGUUGUAAACCUCUUUCAGCAGGGACGAAGCGCAAGUGACGGUACCUGCAGAAGAAGCACCGGCUAACUACGUG